ACAGACUAGUUUUUCAAGUUUGUCGUCUUAGCAUUGUCUUUUGAGGGUAGAAGAUUCAAGCUUGAUUUGACUUUAGAAACUAGUAGACUAACAUAAAACAAGGUCAAUUUUGGUAACACUUUAUAUUGAUGGUCCCUAUUGAACAUUCUGUAACAUUCUGACUAUCAGAAACUUUGCAACUAUUAUACAUGUCAACUUAUUCUAACCAUAACUCUACCAGUCUACUAAUACUUGUUGAAAUGUGUGAAGUAAGUCUUUAAAAGGUUUGAGGAAGGAAGGUCACUACCCUUAAAAUGACCGUAAGUGAGGAUGAAGAGGACCCAUCUGACAAACAAUUCUCAGAGCAAACAGAAGGUUCUGGACCUGAUGUCUAUCAGAUGCCAAGAUCAGCUUCUCCGCAUCUGAGCAGUGUGUCCAUAAAGUCGGAGGAAUCCUUUGAUUUUCUUACACCUCAUUUCAGUGAUGGAUCUAAGGCCUCUGAACUCGGGAGCGAGAUGAAGACAGAGGCACAUCCCCAGGUCCGACGACUCAACAAAGUUCAAUCUUUCUGCAUUUAGUGAUCACUCUGACCCUUUUUUUUAACCUUUCUUUUAUUUCGUAUUAUCAAGUGCAGUCAUACAGUACGUCACAAAUGAACAUUUCCAAUAAUGAUGGUGCAGUAAAGUGUCAUGGGUAAGUCUAUAGAACAGCACAGAGGUUAUCUCUGCAGUACCACAUAUACAUUUGGUAGAUAGUACAGAAUUUUUUUUACAAUACAUAUGACCAUUGAUAGAAAAAUGAAAUAAGAGUAAGAAAAAUAUAGUCUGCAUAAUAGUCAUAUCCAAUGAAUAUGUUGGACAAUUGAAGACCUCUGCUUUCAGUUGUAAUAAUGCCGUUGUAUACUCCAUGUUAUAAACAUCCUGUAUUCUUUGUGCAACUGUUGAGGAGGCUGUGAUCACCGUAUCUGCUAUUAAAAUAUGGUUUCUCA